rnacentral:rRNA from 1 species
GUUGUAUGGUUAAGUGACUAAGCGUACACGGUGGAUGCCUUGGCAGUCAGAGGCGAUGAAGGACGUAUUAACUUGCGAUAAGCCCAGAUUAGGUAGUAAAAACCACUUGAGUCUGGGAUUUCCGAAUGGGGAAACCCACUUACAUAAGUAAGUAUCGUUAUGUGAAUACAUAGCAUAACGAGGCGAACCGGGGGAACUGAAACAUCUAAGUACCCCGAGGAAAAGAAAUCAACCGAGAUUCCGAAAGUAGCGGCGAGCGAAAUUGGACUAGCCCUUAAGCUUUAUAGGCGUCAGGUGAACAAGCUGGAAAGCUUGGCGAUACAGGGUGAUAGCCCCGUAACUGACGACGCAUAUUCAGUGAAAUCGAGUAGGGCGGGACACGUGAUAUCCUGUCUGAAUAUGGGGGGACCAUCCUCCAAGGCUAAAUACUACUGACUGACCGAUAGUGAACCAGUACCGUGAGGGAAAGGCGAAAAGAACCCCUGUGAGGGGAGUGAAAUAGAACCUGAAACCGUGUACGUACAAGCAGUAGGAGCAGGCUUUGUCCUGUGACUGC